rnacentral:rRNA from 1 species
CCAAUCGCGUAUAUUAAAGUUGUUGCAGUUAAAAAGCUCGUCGUUGAAUUUCGGAAUUUUUUUAUCGGUUGAAUCAACAGGUUCGUACUGAUUUUAAGAAUUUCUACCUUCUGGAGAACCUUAAUGUCAUUUAUUUGAUGUUUUGGGAAACCAGGACUGUUACCUUGAAAAAAUUAGAGUGUUUAAAGCAGGCUUAUGUCUGAAUAUAUUAGCAUGGAAUAAUGAAAUAGGACGGCAUGGUUCUAUUUUGUUGGUUUCUAGGAUCACCGUAAUGAUUAAUAGGGAUAGUUGGGGGCAUUAGUAUUCAAUUGUCAGAGGUGAAAUUCUUGGAUUUAUUGAAGACUAACUUCUGCGAAAGCAUUUGCCAAGGAUGUUUUCAUUAAUCAAGAACGAAAGUUAGGGGAUCGAAGACGAUCAGAUACCGUCGUAGUCUUAACCAUAAACUAUGCCGACUAGGAAUCGGACGAAGUUAAUUUUUUAAUGACUCGUUCGGCGCCUUACG